CCGUGGUGAGGCUAUGGGAGGCGCGAGCUGGGUGCCUGGGCGCUGCCUGGACCCGUCCCGGGGCGGCUGCGCUCCUCCCGGCCCCGGAGGGGAAGGAGCCGGUGAGGGAAAGGCCUGUUUCCUUCCCUGCGUGACCGCGUCCGGGCGCUGUCACGGUGGGCUCGGAGCAGGCGGCGGCGCGCGCCUUCCUCAGAGCUCGCCAGGGAAGAUGAAGAAAUUCGUACCGUGAAUUUAAGUUCACCGGCACAGUUUAGCUUCCAUUAGUUAUCUUUCACAGGCUCUUUAGACGUAGAUGCGGUGUUCACAGGCGACAAACUGAAGAGGCAGAGUCGACUUCUAGCGACAUGCAAUAUUUUACAGUAAAAAUAGAGCUGAGGAAGCUGCACUGCGUAGGAUGCGGAAUAACUUACACAGUCUGGUAUUUGCUGUGAUAAGGAAGGACAGUACUCUGACAGUAAAGGAAAAUACGUUCACAGUUCAUUUUUCUCCAAACUUGUUCCUCUCUACAAAUGAGCUGAUUUUCUGUUCCUGGAAGACUUGCUCUCCUGAGGCCCUUGUUCUUUUAACACGUUGAAUUUAUCUAAGUUACAGAUUUUGAUGUGCCAGUCUUUUUGUGUUACAGUCUUGAGCAAACCAGAAAUCAAACCUAAUGUGGAAUCAAGAAAAGUAGCAUGCAGCAAUUAGAGCCAGUUAGAGCAUUAGGAUGCUGAAAAGUUUUCCCCGUAUAUACAUUGUCAUGCUGCAAAUCAUCUGUCUCACUCUUCCAUGUUACCGUGUGAACAAGCUUUCAUGUUCAAUAAAGAAGUGGAAAUCA